AAAUUCCACAAACACCACAACUACCACAACCACCACCAGCUCGGACACCUCAGUCACUUCGUGUAACAUGUGUUCUGCAGUGGCCAAGGCACAAUACCACAUGGUCAUGUCUGACAAUACCUUACGGAGCUUUUGCCGAUACUCGUGUGCGACAAAAUUCAAGUCCAUUUUUGGAUUCCAAGUGACGGAGUGCAGACCACAAAUAGGCAAACUACAGUCAAGUCAGGACAUAAGCCAUCUACUCCAGUAACCAGUGAUGCAUCCCAGACAACUGACAGCAUUAGCCAAGCUAAACAAAAGUCAGCCACAGAGUCAACGCAAGAUACAUUGAAUGGAAGUGCUCAGCCCAAGGCACAGCUCCCUCCCGUAUGUAUUGCAAUGCUUUCAAUUUUGAUUGUUUUUUCUGUGCUGUGAUGUCACUUUAUCCUUAUUUUUUUAUAUGAUUAGUGUUAAAUAGCCUGUCCCAUAUUUUAAUCCAAUAAUUGAACCCUUCGUGGCCUGAUUAACAUGUCACGUCAGUAUUAAGAAUUGGCUUGUGGCCAGUAACACUGGAUUGUUACUUUACAUUGGCAGUUCCUCCAUUUGUCCCGUUUUUGUAUUGCAAGUAUGACUUUGGACACCUAAAUGUUUGAAACAAUUGAAAAUUUUCCUUCAGUUUAGGUCCCAAAGGGUGCAGUGUCAUGUCAUGAUGUGAUGCCAUUAAUGACUUGGUCCAGCAUAGCCAUGGCUUGAUAAUAUGCCAUCUGCAUUUAAUGGGUUAAGGAGGAUAGUUGUUUGAUUAUGAUUUAAGAGAACAAGGUCAUUGGCAAAGUAUCAGUGAUAUGUAGAUUGUAAGAGCAAUUUUGUGAAGGAUUUUCUUUUGGUCAUGCAUGUCUUUUGUUUGGUGUAGAUGGAGAAUCUCUAUUAUUUCAAAAAUGAUAUGUUAAUAACCCCCUGAUCUUUGGGCAUGUGCUUUUGAAUAUGAAUGUAUAUUGUUCUUGAUGAUGUAUUUAUUUUGCAUUUGGUUUUUGUUAUUAGGCACAUAUGAAAAUAUGUUUGAAGCUUUUUUUCUUUUCUUUUUUAAUUAAUCAGUUUAUGAUAACAAUAAUGAUUGGUACUAUUGUGAUAAGUAUUAGCAAUGAUAUCAGAAGGAUUUACUUAUGCCUUUGUGAAGUUAUUUAUGUUUUUUUGUGGCUGCUGUGUCAUUAAUGGAUGUGACCCUACAUAUAG